rnacentral:sRNA from 1 species
UAUACUCGUUCUGCGAGCUGAUCGGAGC